CCCUUAGAUGUCCUGGGCCGCACGCGCGUUACACUGAUACAUUCAACGAGCUUAUAACCUUGGCCGAGAGGCCUGGGCAAUCUUGUUAACGUGCAUCGUGAUAGGGAUAGAUUAUUGAAAUUAUUAAUCUUGAACGAGGAAUUCCUAGUAAACGCAGAUCAUCAAUCUGCAUUGAUUACGUCCCUGCCCUUUGUACACACCGCCCGUCGCACCUACCGAUUGGAUGGUCCGGUGAAGCCUCGGGAUUGUGGUUCUUGCCGCUUUAUUGUGGCGUGACCGCGAGAACUUGUCUAAACCUUAUCAUCUAGAGGAAGGUGAAGUCGUAAC
rnacentral:rRNA from 1 species